rnacentral:lncRNA from 1 species
CAUGUGUAGUUUUUGCCAUAUUGUAUACCUGAAAGCUUUCAAGUAAAGAUUUGCUUUUAUAUUCACUCUUUUUUUUUUAAGAUCUGUUCUAUUAUCUAGGCAACACUUUCCUCAGGGGAAGUGAAGGCAAGUAAGCCAGCAGAUGCUUUUGGAUAAAAACCUUGUACAGAGAGAGAAAGCCACCUAGCUUUGACUGUAAACUCACCACAACAUGUAAAAAGCACCUUCUCUUUUUGCUGCCAGCAAUUUCUGAGCUCACAGUGCAAUUCCAUUCCCUCCUGCCCACUGAGGAUCUCCUCACUGCAGUGAGAACUCUGCUCAGCAACAGCAAAGUGUGUUCCCAAGAUCACAUAGCUGGAUGACAGAGACCUCAAAUACAGCACAUCCACAUCACCAAAGGAACAGUAACAGUGAUGUUCAGAAGAGUACAGUCAUCAUCACAUCAAUAUUAACAUCACAUCAAUAUUAACAGCUGUGUUGUUCUUAACCAGUCUUGAUAUAUUCUGUCAUGAGACUAAAUAACAGAAAAAGGAACAGGCAGAAGACACAGUGUACCCAAAACUCCUGCAAAGGAGACAGGCUUUUACAGCAAGACCUAGGUGAGAGAGCCUCUGUGAGCCUGCACACACUGGAAGAUCAGCACAUGACUUAUCAAAACGAGGUAACACAAACAUCCAAGGCUUGUAAUGGUUACUGACAUUCUCCAUUAGGGGUCUCUGUUUGUCCUGCCAUGUCUCUGCUGCAUGGGACAGUCACACUGGGUAGAUGACACCUCAUGUGCCCCAUAUGCCCCUCUGGCAACGAUCAGGAAAAAACACUUAAUGUUUUGCACCUCUGCCCUGGAGGGUGCAGCAGAAAAGUUAGUCAAAGUUACUUACCUGCAAAGGCAUGGAAGAGGCACU